GCUGGAUUUUAGCUAGCACCAACUCCAAUCAGGACACACCUUUCUACGCAACGUGAGAGUAAUGUCAACAUCAUCUUGAAGUUCAGAGGAGCAGACUGUCAGAGGACCAACAUCAGUUCAGUAACUUACAGCUUCAGACUGUGGGUAAAGCAUCCCCCCCUGCUCACCCCUCCCCAAAAGAACCCCAACAAGGAGACUUCAGACUACCAUAUCAGGUCGGGCUGUCCGAGGAUCGGCCUGUGGGACGGAGGUAAGCUUCUGGGCUUCUGUCUGUCUUUCUCAGUCUCUCAGAUUCCUCUGGAUCCACCCCCCUCCUGGAUCCCAGAUUCUCUCCAUCAUCUCCUCCAACCGUGAGGUCUAACCGGCAGGGCAGGGGCGUGUGGGCGGACAUGCUGGGUGCUGGCAGCGUGCUCCGUCUGCUAGUGAGUAAUGAACUGACCUCUUGUACUGGUGAUGUCAUUUGGAGCCAGCUUCUGCCCAGUAGGGAACAGCUGGUAGAGCAGCAGUAUUGACGUCCCACUCCUACUGCUAAUCAAACAUUCACCGGGAGAACGGCAAAGUUCCCUCUGUUUCUCACCUGAGUGGACAUGAAGAGGCCUGCUUUACAUCAGUGAUUUGUCAUCAGACCCUGACCACACCACCCCCGUCAUUGGCUGAAAAUGCUCCUUUAUUUGCAAGAUCCGCAAUGAUUUUCAAUCACGCUCCACUUAGGCUGACUUUGAACUUUGAUCUCACCUGCUUUUAGAGGGUCAGUGGGAAUUCACCAGGCGACAUCACGCACACACCGAGUCGUGUCAGGAGUUACUCUGGUAUGAAGCACCUCCCGUAGUGUUCAUGCACUUUACAUGUGAAGUCAAGGACUGAUGAAAUGGUAUAUACAAUCAU